GAUAAACGCUGGCGGCGUGCUUCAGGCAUGCAAGUCGAACGGGCGAUGCGGGUUCGCCUGCAAAGCGAGUGGCGGACGGGUGAGUAACACGUAAGCAACCUGCCCAGAAGUGUGGAAUAACCCACCGAAAGGUGAGCUAAUACCGCAUGUUGUGGUCCUUCCCUGGAGGGACUAUUAAAGGAGCAAUUCGCUUCUGGAGGGGCUUGCGGCCGAUUAGCUAGUUGGUGGGGAACGGCCUACCAAGGCGACGAUCGGUAGCUGGUCUGAGAGGACGGACAGCCACACGGGGACUGAGAUACGGCCCCGACUCCUACGGGAGGGCGA
rnacentral:rRNA from 1 species